rnacentral:tRNA from 1 species
GGCGGGGUAGCUUAGUUGGCUAGAGCGUUCGGUUCAUACCCGGAAGGUCGUGGGUUCGAGUCCCACUUCCGCUACCA